UACGGGGGGGGUAAGCGUUGUUCGGAAUUACUGGGCGUAAAGGGCUCGUAGGCGGCCAACUAAGUCGGACGUGAAAUCCCUCAGCUUAACUGGGGAACUGCGUCCGAUACUGGAUGGCUUGGAUUUGGGAGAGGGAUGCGGAAUUCCAGGUGUAGCGGUGAAAUGCGUAGAUAUGCGGAGGAACACCGAUGGCGAAGGCAGUCCCCUGGGCCUGUACUGACGCUCAUGCACGAAAGCGUGGGGAGCAAACAGG
rnacentral:rRNA from 1 species